UACGUAGGUGGCGAGCGUUAUCCGGAAUUACUGGGUGUAAAGGGUGAGUAGGCGGGCUGACAAGUCAGAUGUGAAAGAUAGCGGCUUAACCGUUGUAAGCAUUUGAAACUGCAGGGCUUGAGUACAGGAGAGGAAAGCGGAAUUCCUAGUGUAGCGGUGAAAUGCGCUGAUAUCAGGAGGAACACCAAUGGCGAAGGCAGGUCUCUGGGCAGUUACUGACGCUGAGGAGCGAAAGCAUGGGUAGCGAACAGGAUUA
rnacentral:rRNA from 1 species